GGCAGGCUCUGGCCCAGGAAGUUGGGGGGGCUGAUAUGGUUCUCCACGUGCUGCGUGUAGGCUGGAACAGAACCGCAGAGACGAGCAGCGUCUGAUCCACUCGAUUGACCAGGGAUGAGGCUUGUUAGCUGCAGUAGAUCCCUCCUGAUCUACUGCAGGAAAUGAAUCGUUUGAGGAACUGAUUCAUUUCCUGCUGAAUGAAUCUGUGACGGCAGCCUGCGUUCACCCCACCAGACAGAGGCUGUUCACCUGGAAGAACAGAGAGGAACGUCAGAGGGCGGCCAUGUUGGCCACCAGAGCGCCCAGCGGCCAUGACGGCCACCAGAGCGCCCAGCGGCCAUGUUGGCUCUGCGUUCAGGGACUCACGGCCAGCAGCUUGUCUCCGAUCUGCAGCCUGCCGUCCUUCUGCGCGGCGCCGCCUUCGAUGAUCUUGGUGACGUAGAUGCUGUUG